UGGGGAAUUUUGGACAAUGGGCGAAAGCCUGAUCCAGCAAUGCCGCGUGUGUGAAGAAGGCCUUCGGGUUGUAAAGCACUUUUGUCCGGAAAGAAAUCCUUGGCUCUAAUACAGUCGGGGGAUGACGGUACCGGAAGAAUAAGCACCGGCUAACUACGUGCCAGCAGCCGCGGUAAUACGUAGGGUGCAAGCGUUAAUCGGAAUUACUGGGCGUAAAGCGUGCGCAGGCGGUUUGCUAAGACCGAUGUGAAAUCCCCGGGCUCAACCUGGGAACUGCAUUGGUGACUGGCAGGCUAGAGUAUGGCAGAGGGGGGUAGAAUUCCACGUGUAGCAGUGAAAUGCGUAGAGAUGUGGAGGAAUACCGAUGGCGAAGGCAGCCCCCUGGGCCAAAUACUGACGCUCAUGCACGAAAGCGUGGGGGAGCAAAACAGGAUUAGAUACCCUGGUAGUCCACGCCCUAAAACGAUGUCAACUAGUUGUUGGGGAUUCAUUUCCUUAGUAACGUAGCUAACGCGUGAAGUUGACCGCCUGGGGGAGUACGGUCGCAAGAUUAAAACUUAAAUGAAUUG
rnacentral:rRNA from 1 species